UACGUAGGGUGCAAGCGUUAAUCGGAAUUACUGGGCGUAAAGCGUGCGCAGGCGGUUUUGUAAGUCUGUCGUGAAAUCCCCGGGCUUAACCUGGGAAUGGCGAUGGAGACUGCAAGGCUAGAAUCUGGCAAAGGGGGGUAGAAUUCCACGUGUAGCAGUGAAAUGCGUAAAGAUGUGGAGGAACACCGAUGGCGAAGGCAGCCCCCUGGGUCAAGAUUGACGCUCAUGCACGAAAGCGUGGGGAGCAAACAGG
rnacentral:rRNA from 1 species